rnacentral:rRNA from 1 species
UACGUAGGGGGCAAGCGUUGUCCGGAAUUAUUGGGCGUAAAGAGCGUGUAGGCGGUCCGGUAAGUCCGCUGUGAAAUUCCAGGGCUCAACCCUGGAAUGCCGGUGGAUACUGCCGGGCUAGAGUCCGGAAGAGGCGAGUGGAAUUCCUGGUGUAGCGGUGAAAUGCGCAGAGAUCAGGAGGAACACCGAUGGCGAAGGCAGCUCGCUGGGACGGUACUGACGCUGAGACGCGAAAGCGUGGGGAGCAAACAGG